CAGAGUAUGGUUUGAAAUGCUGUUCACAUCUGUCAGGAUAGUGUUGGAACUUGAGUCACGUGACUUGACCUGGCUGUGUUUUUCUUCCCUCAUCAGUAGCCAUCUUAAACUUAGUUAGCUCUGGUUAUUCUUCGCCAUUAUACCGAAAAAUGAAAUACCCUUCGCUUCGAUGUCUGGUUCUUGCAAGGAUUCUUUUUAUUGUUUGAACCGCGUCUUGGGAGUGGAAGUUCUAGUUUCUGGAGUCGAAUUUACAUAGUUUGAAUCACGUCUUGGGAGUGGAAGUUCCAGUUCCUGGUUCAUGGAGUGUAGCACCGAGGACGAGAACCGUUCUGAACCAUGAAUGCAGCACCGUGGACAAGUACUGUUUUCAAUCCUACAAGACUGCAGCACCGAGGAUGAGAACUAAUCUGAGAAUGGGGAAGCUCACCUCCGGGCGGUCGUGGAAGAAACAUGGCAGGGAUAAUUUUAACGUAGCUGUAGCUAGUUCUGAUGUAUGUGUUAUCUGUGUAUUCUUAAAGGGAGAGGGUUGAUUAUAUUUCGUCGUCUCUAAAACUGCUUGGCAGACGUUCUCUAAGUUGGCUAACAUAAACGGUAUCAAAUUGUUUUACAGUGAAAGGUUGUACAAAUUUAUGAACUGAUUUCUGUAAUGUUUAUUUGUAGUAUAUAAAUAGUGUCUGGCAUCCGUUCUCUGGGU